GCCAAAUCUUUCACCUGAAUAUGGUGGCUGUUUCAAUCACUUUUUUUUUUUUUAAUUAAAUACCUGUUUAUUUACAUGGCUACUAGAGACGCCAAGAGAAGAUGUGACUCCUGCCCUCCAGGAAUGCUAAUAGAAGAAACAGACAUGUCUUCAGCCAGCACCACCAUCUGAGGGCUGAGGAACCUACUCUACAGAACGGAAGGCAGAAUCAGCGGAACGUGUGUGACCUUCACUGCAUUGUUGAAUGAUUGCCCAUCAGAAAAUACAAAGAGUAAAAGGCUACUG